rnacentral:rRNA from 1 species
UACGUAGGGUGCAAGCGUUAAUCGGAAUUACUGGGCGUAAAGCGUGCGCAGGCGGUUCGCUAAGACAGAUCGUGAAAUCCCCGGGCUCAACCUGGGAACUGCAUUUGUGACUGUAGAGCUGGAGUGCGGCAGAGGGGGGGAUGGAAUUCCGCGUGUAGCAGUGAAAUGCGUAGAUAUGCGGAGGAACACCGAUGGCGAAGGCAAUCCCUGGGCCUGCACUGACGCUCAUGCACGAAA